GCCUGGGUGGCUCAGUUGGUUGAGCAUCUGACUUCGGCUCAGGUCAUAAUCUCAUGAGUUCGAGCCCCGUGUCGGGCU
rnacentral:tRNA from 1 species